AAAGAUUAAGCCAUGCAUGUCUAAGUAUAAACGGAUUAUACAUAGUGAAACUGCGAAUGGCUCAUUAAAUCAGUUAUAGUUUAUUUGAUAAUACCUUACUACUUGGAUAACCGUAGUAAUUCUAGAGCUAAUACAUGCAAUGAAACCCGACUUCUGGAAGGGUUGUAUUUAUUAGAUAAAAAACCAAUGCAGGGGCAACCCUGGUUACUUGGUGAUUCAUAAUAACUAAACGAAUCGUACGGCCUAGCGCCAACGACGAUUCAUUCAAGUUUCUGCCCUAUCAACUUUCGAUGGUAAGGUAUUGGCUUACCAUGGUUA
rnacentral:rRNA from 1 species